GAAGACCACAAGGGGAGCCUUAUGGCUGAGAUUGAACAAUUUGUUCUGACCCUCUGAACCUGUUAGUUAGUGCUAGCGUAGGGAUGUGGCUUUAUUGAUGG
rnacentral:ncRNA from 2 species